GUGAAGUUCGGCAUGAUCAUUAUUGUGCUAACUGUUCAACUUUUUAUUCGCACAGAUGCAAUUCCAGGCAUAUUUGUAAAGGCGGCGCGGCGGCUCACGUACCUGCCGCAGAGGCAAUAUUGGAAUCAUCCUUAAGUGUGAUGUGUAUAGUGUGCAGGGGCAAUUUUAAGAUUGGCCUCUUUGGCUUUUCAAUUGCUCUAACUACCCUACAACCGGUAUUGCCCCUGCGGCAGGUGUGUGAGUAGCCAGCUUAAGAUAUAUUUCAUACCAACGGCGUUGCACGGGUGUAGCAGAUUGGCAGGGAACAGGGAAAGAUGGCGGAACAUCGUGAAGCGGGUUAAAUUUGCCCCUGGUACAUGAUGACCACGACCGCUCUGUCAAGAGUGACAUAGCAAAGAAGAUUUUAUACCAAAAAUAUGAUAUUAUUAUUCUAUGCUUUUAAUAAUUAAAAUAAAGUUCAUUCAAAAAUAAA